GACGAACGCUGGCGGCGUGCUUAACACAUGCAAGUCGAACGGAAAGGCCCUGCUUUUGUGGGGUGCUCGAGUGGCGAACGGGUGAGUAACACGUGAGUAACCUGCCCUUGACUUUGGGAUAACUUCAGGAAACUGGGGCUAAUACCGGAUAGGAGCUCCUGCUGCAUGGUGGGGGUUGGAAAGUUUCGGCGGUUGGGGAUGGACUCGCGGCUUAUCAGCUUGUUGGUGGGGUAGUGGCUUACCAAGGCUUUGACGGGUAGCCGGCCUGAGAGGGUGACCGGCCACAUUGGGACUGAGAUACGGCGCAGACUCCUACGGGAGGCAGCAGUGGGGAAUAUUGCACAGUGGGCGGAAGCCUGAUGCAGCAACGCCGCGUGCGUGAUGACGGCCUUCGUGUUGUAAACCGCUUUCGCCUGUGACGAAGCGUGAGUGACGGUAAUGGGUAAAGAAGCACCGGCUAACUACGUG
rnacentral:rRNA from 1 species